ACGUUCAUAGUCUGUUUGCUACCACACUGUAUGUGUAUUUUUUAUUCAAAAACAACCAAAAGGCAAUGGAAGCAAUAACUUGGAUCAGACUAUAGUUAAUUUCUAUUUAAUGGGUUUGGAGAAAACUUUAUGUCCUUCGAUCGAAUUAAUGAUGCCUUGUGAUUUCUGGAUUUAUCUGCACAAAUAGAUGACCUUGUCUUGAAGGGUAGGAAAGAACUCAGGGAUACAGCGGACUGUACCGAUAACAGCUUUUAUCAAACUCUCCCCUGUUGGUGGAUUGUCGGAUAAACAGUGAUGUAUGUAGAUCCCUGGGCUAUAUAAGCCAACCGGUUAAUGGCCUCAGUGUUCAGUUUCUGGUGCCGUUCUGAGAUAACAAUUUCCCAGUUGUUUUGCACAAUGGUUCCAGUAGUGGCUUUGUUACUGAUCCAGGCUCUGAUUGCUGAAUCUGCCUUUACCGAAGCCAACUCUCCGUCCUAUCUCAAAUGUAACAAGUCGUGCUUAAAGGAAAGGGUAGAUUGUACGAAUGAAUGUCGUGUCGACUAUAUCCGGAAUAGAAGGAGGUUCAUGGAAUGCGCGACAGAAUGUACGGAGGACUUUGUAGAGUGCAAUGAUGAAUGUCGCUGUCUGAUUUCUUGUGACAAUAAUAAGUCCAAAUGCUUGACCGGAUGUCGGUCGAAAAGUAAUUACUGGAGCAGACGACGAUGCGCCUACUACUGUAACGACGAGUUUGCUGAAUGUUACGACGAAUGUAUGUGAUGAUUGUAUCAUUCAGACAAUAGAUCGGUGACACGUCUGUCUCGUUACACCUUUAAUGUGGACUGUUACACUCAACGAGUGGAGAAUCCUGUUUAUUUCAUCAUUUUUACUGUAGAUGAGUAGAACUGAUACUUGACAAUCAAUCUAGAGAUGUUAGAACUAGCAUUUAAUAUGUGCAUUACAAUAGUUUCAAUACAUUUCAAAGGUAUUGUUUUAUGAAAGUAACAGUAACUUCGUACUGUUUCUAAUUCUUCAGAAAACAAUAUCGAAAUAUAUAAGUGCAAGUAUAAUUAGAUAAAAAUAGCUUGUGUACAUGAUUGCAUAAAUUGACAUCUUGAAAACAUUUAAAGUGAAUUUUGGUUCCAUCGUUAUGCAGUACUGACUUUCUAGAAUCUUGUUAUGAUCCCUCUCUUAUAUUUGUAUUUAAAGCAACGUAUAAUUUGUGCAUAAUAGAUACAUAUUUUAAAAAUAUGUUCGUCAGUUUUUAAAUACUUAUUAUUUAUUGUUAUUUUGCUGUUGCCUUUUUAGUUCAUUUGUUUGUUUGUUGAGAAAAUAAAUCAAAUUGUUUGAUU
rnacentral:sRNA from 1 species